CUGGCUCAGGAUGAACGCUAGCUACAGGCUUAACACAUGCAAGUCGAGGGGCAGCAUUGGAGUAGCAAUACUCAGAUGGCGACCGGCGCACGGGUGAGUAACACGUAUCCAACCUGCCGCUUACUCGGGGAUAGCCUUUCGAAAGAAAGAUUAAUACCCGAUGGUAUAAAGAGUUCGCAUGUUCUCUUUAUUAAAGAAUUUCGGUAAGCGAUGGGGAUGCGUUCCAUUAGAUAGUUGGCGGGGUAACGGCCCACCAAGUCUACGAUGGAUAGGGGUUCUGAGAGGAAGGUCCCCCACAUUGGAACUGAGACACGGUCCAAACUCCUACGGGAGGCAGCAGUGAGGAAUAUUGGUCAAUGGACGAGAGUCUGAACCAGCCAAAGUAGCGUGAAGGAUGACUGCCCUAUGGGUUGUAAACUUCUUUUAUAAGGGAAUAAAGUGAGGGACGUGUCCCUUUUUGUAUGUACCUUAUGAAUAAGGAUCGGCUAACUCCGUGCCAGCCGCCGC
rnacentral:rRNA from 1 species